CCGGGGGAGCCAGGCCGAGGGGGGCAGGCAGGGAAGGCAGGCCGGGAAGGCAGGACGGGGGGCAGGCAGGGAAGGCAGGCAGGAGCAGGCAGUUGUGAGCAAGGCUGUCUGUGGAGGUGAGAGCUGAGUGUGCCUGCAGGCCCUGGGCACUGCAGCUCCCAUUCUCCUGGACAGCACUGUCCUCUGGGCCUGCCCAGCCCCCUCAGGCACACUCAGCCUGCUGCUUGCUGUGAACUGGCGGUCAGGAGAAGUGUGCUAUAUUUCACAGGUCCUACUCGGUUACAGUGGGAGGUAUAGUAUGAGUUCAAUACUGAACAACAAAGCUGUUUGUUAAAGUCAUCUCUGCACCCUGGAAUUGUGUUUUUCCAGGAGUGACUGUGGCUGGGUGCAGAAGGAACACUUGCUGUUUGCCUGUCUCUCAUUAUUGUGGUUUUUGAAACUGCUUGGGAAAUCUGAACUGAGGGGAACAGAACCUACAGCAUUUCUCUUAAGCAAAGUUUGAAGCAGUACUUCAUGCAGAGCUACCAGUCUCAUCCAAAGCAAAGUAAACCAAAAAAAAUCUUUCACAUAAGUAGAAUUUCAUUUCAUUGAUGAAGAUUGAAAAAAAGGUCAAAACAAAUAAUAGUGACACUAAGACCAGACUUGCUCGAGCUCAUUUUAGCUCAGUGACCAUGCAAGCCAGCUGAAUGUUGCAGGCUCUGACUGUGGCCCUCAAAGGAAGGAAAUGUUAUCACAACAAACGUUUCCAGAAAUCUCAAAAUCAGCAAAAGUGCACAAGGGAGGAAAGAAGAGAGAGAGGAGCUCUGAACUACUCACUGCUGGCCUGGAGACUGUCAAAUCUGCACACUGAACCCAAUGAUCGUUAUUUAUGCUGUGCAGAACACUGUGCCACAGGAGCCAGGUGUGUGAUCUUUCUGGAAAUCAAUGGUGACCUUUUGUAAUGUAGUCAUUGAGAGUAGCCCUAGAGGAGAUGAAUCUGUGGGAUGUUCUUUCUUUGCAAAGAGUGAGGCAUGCAGGUAUAUGGAAAUUUUGCAUCUUUAUUUCUCCCUACCAGUCUGUAUUUUUCUGAACCAACACCCAAUUUUCAAGACGUUUUCUGUUCCUCUGACCACACUUUCUAAUAACUAGGUCCCUGUUAAAUAUCUUAUGAUUUCUUUGAGUGGUAUCAAAAGAUAUGGUCAUUUCCAAAACCCUUGGAAAAGUGUCAGGUGAUUUCCAUUAUACAACCUACCCUGCUUUGCAUGAGGAGAAGAGGCAUUCAGGAACAGUUUGUGGAAGUUAAAAGCUCUCAAACUGCCAAAAUUGCUUUCAGAGUUCAGAGUCUGCCUCCUUUCUUGGAAUUUUCUGACAUCCACAAGUAUUCCUUUGGAGUCUGCAAUAUUUCAAGAGCUGGAACACCUUUCCCAUCCAUUUUCUGUCUCUGAAGUGAUGGUGGAUGUGUCUCACUGAUUCCAUGCCCCGAGAGGAGGGUGUGUUAUCCAGGACUGCACUCACGUACGGGAUGUACGCCCCACGCAGGGCGUAGCCAAGGUUUCAACUGAAGCUGUAGAUUUUCAUCCCAGGGUGAAAGGCUAAGUUAAGUUUCCUGAAGAACUUGCAACACAUUUGAAUGAUGUCACUGCUAUUUUUCUUCCAUGCAUUCAGGGACUCUGAAAUGCCAUAACUUGUUCUAACAUUAGCAACCCUUCAAAUUUUUCUCCUCUGUGCCGUAAGUUCCAACACAUUAAUCACCCUUCCCUUAGAUAUUCCAGGGUAAAAGAACAUGUUUUCAUUUUAUUUGCUCUUUCUUACAUGUCAAAACUGUGCUUGUGUUUAUUUAUUUAUUUAUUUAUUUUUCUGCAAGGAAAGAAACCUUUUAGCUUUCAUUCUUUUCUCUUACAGAAAUCAGCAAUGUCAAGUAAGGUCUUCCCUUUUUAUGCUGAUGUAGGUCCCUCAUGAUAA
ensembl:lncRNA